AUGGUUCAAUGGAACUUAUGAUUUGGAUGCUGAUAUUGGGAAAGGUCUUACAAAUUUAUCCUUUUAUGAAGUGAUUUGGGAGAAAAAGCUUGGUUCUGGAAGUUGGGUAUUUAAGCAUAGGCUCAAGACUUCAAUGAAAUAUCCAUGGUUGAUGCUUUACCUUAGAGCUGAUGCAACCAAAGGAUUCUCUAGUGGGUACCCUUAUGAAACAAGAGGAAUGCUCCACACCGUAAGUUGAAAUACACUCUUUGAAAUCAAACAUUUUAACUUACUUUUAACAUACAUAGUCACUCUCUGACCAAUUGCUUUACUUUCAGCUCCCAAGGACUAAUUUUAAAGUCAAGUUCUCAUUGGAAAUCAAAAAAGGAGGAGGACCCAAGAGCCAAUUUUACCUGCUUGACAUAGGCAGUUGUUGGAAGAACAAUGGUAAGCCUUGUGAUGGAGAUGUGUUGACAGAUGUUACAAGAUACAGUGAGAUGAUCAUCAACCCUGAUGUACCAGCUUGGUGUAGCCCCACACAAUUGGUGAACUGCCCACCAUACCAUAUUACUCCUAACAACACAAAGAUUUUAAGGACUGACACAGCCAAUUUCCCAUAUGGAGCUUACCACUACUAUUGUGCUCCUGGCAAUGCUAAAUACUUGGAGGAACCUGUUAGUCUUUGUGAUCCAUACAGCAACCCUCAACCUCAAGAAAUAGUACAAUUGUUGCCUCACCCUGCAUGGGGUGAAUAUGGCUACCCAACUGAAAAGGGUCAAGGUUGGAUUGGGGAUCCAAGAACAUGGGUGCUUGACACUGGCGGCCUAGCUAGUAGACUUUACUUCUAUCAGGUAGUUGUUUAAUUGUCACUUUUAAAUGAUUCCAUCGAUGGUUUAGGGGUUUUUAUUGUUAAUGGUUUUGGUUGGAUUUCAGGAUCCACAUACCCUUCCCGCCAAAAGAAAAUGGACGUCUAUCGAUGUUGGAACCGAAAUUUUUGUUAGUGAUAAAGAGGAAGAAGCAGAAUGGUCCCUUAGCCACUUUGAUGUUAUCCUCCUAUAAAGUUUUAUUUAUUUAGGAUUUAGGGUUUAUAUUUAAUUUUUUUCAUUUAGUUUUAGUUUUUUUUUAUAAGUCCUUAGAAAGGACUAAUCAAAGGGUUUAUGAAUUACAUUUAUUAUGUUUUUAAUGUUGGCUGAUCUUUUUAUUGGCAUAUUAUAAAUUUAGCCCUACAUUUCAUAAAUGUUAUUAAUUUGAUUAUUAUUUAAAGGGUAAACUAUUAAAAUAGUCACUUUUGUUUACCUCAAGUUACAUUUUAGUCACUUGCAUUAUUGCGUUGUAACAUUUCAGUCAUUGAACCGUUAAUUGUAGUUAACAGUGUAACGGUAAGUUGAUGUGGCAUAUUAAAUCAUCAUUUUAAAUAAAGAUUUUAGGUUAAUUUAUACAAUCGGUCCCCAUAUUUUUUUCAUUUUUAGCAAUUUAGUUUUUUUCUUUUAUGUUUUUUUAACUUCCCUUUUUCUUUCUUUUUUCCAUUCUCUAUUUUCCUCCUUUCUCCAUUUCUUUUAACAUAGUUUUUCUAUAUUUUCAUUUGUUAAAACUAGUCCCUAUACUUUUAUUUUUUUGAACAAUUUAAUUUUUUUUCGAGUGAGGCAAGCUUGUUGACUAGUUUAACAAAUGAAAAACAUAGAAAAACUAUGUUAAAAGAAAUGAAGAAGAGAGGAAAAUAGAGGGAGAAGCAGAAGAGAAUGAAAAAUAAAACAAAUUAAAAGAACAUAAAAGAAAAAAAAUUAAAUUACUCAAAAUGAAAAAAUAUAGGGACCAAUUGUAAAAUUUAACCUAAAUUUUUUGUUUGAAAUGAUGAUUUAACGUGUCACGUCAGCUUACUGUUACAUCGUUAAUGGCAAUUAACGGCUCAGAGACUAAAAUGUUACAACAUGAUAACGUAAGUGACUAAAACAUAACAUUUUAAACAUAAGUGACUAAAAUGUAACCUAAGGCAAACAAAUGUGCCUAUUUUGGUAGUUUACCUUAAUUUAAAAGAAUUAAUUUCAACUUUAUACAUUUUAUCUAUUUGGUAUUUCUUAAAAAAGAGAAAGAAAACUAAAAGAUAAAUAUUGUUUUAAUUCUAGUAAAAAUUUAAACAUUGAUACAAUUUCUAAAACUACACAUAGUACCUUCCAACUCUUUUUUUUUUACACAAAGUCUUAAACCACCCAUAGCCUCUUCUCAACUCAUAAAUAGGAGGAUAAUGCGCUUUAGCGCACUCAAGUCUACAUCUUCUUGCAUUGGCAAUAAUGUCCAUGUCAAUCGAGCUAAGAUUCAGUUAAUUAGCACCUUCCAACCUUUAAAUAAAAGGAUAAUAUGCUUCAGCGUACUCGUAUCCAUGUCCUCUUGCACUUAUAGAAUAUAUAUAUUUAAUUUAAUUGUAGUUUUAGUCUCUUGAAAUUUGAAAUUUAUUUUUUAUCUUAAUUUGAGAUAUUUUAAUGUGUUUAUUUUUAUAAUAGGUCAAAGUAAUAAUACCAUUACGGACUUAAAUUAUAGUUUGGAUUUUUGAGUUUAUAUCAAAUAAUACAAUAUGGGUAUUUUUAUUUUAUUUUUGAAGAAAUACAAUUCAAAUUUGAUAGUAGAAACUCAAUUCAUAUGGGUCAUCUUUAUUCAUAUUUGAUAGUAGUAUUCUUGUUAAAUUCAUUUUUUAUUAAAUAAUUAUGCAUAGGAGAAAAAAAUUUGAUAAAAAUACUUUUAGUCUUUCUCAAUUUUGAUAUUGAGUAAAUUGAUGCGUCUAAAAAAAUUAGAACAAUUUAAUCAUUUUACCUUUGAAAGUUGUCACGUCCCAAAAUAUAUGAGGUUAAUUGAAAUAAUAAAUUUAAAAUUGACCUAGACUUGAUGGUUAAGUGGUUAAUGCAAUCCCUAGAGGUCAUAGGUUUUAUCCAACUCCACUGCCAUUUCUUUUCAUUUCAUUUUCACCAAAUAUUAUUGGAAGUAGAAACUCAACAAGAGUGAGCAGUAGGGGUGUUCAAAUUUCGGUUAAAACCAAAUUAACCGACCGAACCGAUCUAAUUUGGUUAAUCAGCUGAUUAACCGAUCUAAUUCGGUCGGAGGUUGGUUAAUUCAGUUUGAAAUCGGGUAAUUAACCGAAUUAACCGAACUUAAUAAUUAAUAAUACAAAUUAUAUGUAGUUUUAAUUUGAUUAAUUCAGUCAAAUGAUUAACAAUUUAUUUAUUUUUAUAUAUUUUAUACUUGUUUUAACCAAAAAAAUAUAUAAAUUUCGGUUAAUUCGGUUAAUCGACCAAAUUAGCCAAAAUAUUUCGAUUCGGUUAAUUUUUUUUGAAAAAAAAUUUGGUUCGAUUAACGGUUAAAGGAUUAAAAAGUUUGGUUAAUUUAGUUAAUACUAAUUCGGUUCGGUUAACCGAGCGAUUAAUUGUUUGAACACCCCUAGUAGGCGGCAGCAGCCCAAAUAGUUUUGCAUUAAGCCUUCCCCAUAAGUGACCUGUGUUUGAGCCUCAGAUUUUCCCCUUCAUAAUUUUUUUCUUUUCAAUUGGCUAGACUUAGGGAAAUUUGCCCAAACCACCCCUAGGGUACCCAAACCCUAGGUAUAUAAUCCAUUUUUUUCUAAUUAGACUAGGAUUUUGCUUCCUUUUCAAAUUAUAUUAGAAUUUUACUUCUAUCUUAUCUAUUUCUUCCAUCUUUCUUUUAUUCUCUUUUCUUUUCAUCAAAAUUUUAUUCCAUUGAUGAGAAGUCUUCUUGUUUCUCGAAUUAAAAUCUAUUCUCGAUUUUAAGCUGUUUCUCAACUAGACUUAUACUCGCUAGUCGAAGCAUUAUUUGAUCAUUCCAAAGAAUCGAUAAGUAUGUCACAAUCCCGAUUUUUGAUAUUGAAUCUUUAUAGAAUUCCUAAUUAACGAUAAUCUUGUGAAAUGAUUAAACGAUCUUUCUCAAUUUAUCAUCAAAUCUUUCGACAAUCUUGGUUUAUCUUAGAAUCCAUCAUUAAUUCUUGCGUAAAUAUCAUUUGAAGGACUCAAUUUAGGUACCUUGGAUAAGAUUUGAACAUGAGGGAUGUCAUUCGAGAUCUUGGUGAAAGGUGUGUGUUCUUUUACAAGAGAAUUAGGGUAAAUCGUGUCUCGAGUUAAAGCCACACGGUUAGCCACAUGGGCGUAUGGACCACACGACCCCUCAUACGGCCAUGUCCCCCUGAAAUCCUAUGAUAUUUCGAUUCUCACACAGCCUAGAACCCUCCACACGGCCUGACACACAAUCAUGUCUCCUCUAAAGCUUAAGUUUACAUGUUCCACAUGGCCAUAGUCAGUUACACGGCCUAGCCACACGACUGUGUAACCCCUCUACACGGCUUAAGGCAUUGCACACGACCAUGUGCCCUUAUUUUAUAGUUUUGUCCAGAAUUGUAAACUAUUCAAUUUAGUCAUUAGAUUAUCCUUAAACUAUUUUUAGAAUUUUAUCUCCUUCAGUUAGUUCUAUGAUAUUAUGAAAAAUGUGGAAUCCAUGAUUUGGUUGAUUAGAUUAUUACUAUUUGUACAUGAUAUGUGAUUAAGUACAUGUCUUCUAUGACUAAAUCGUUGAUAAAUUGUUAUUAUCACUCGUAUUACUGAAAUACUGAUUGCAUGAACAGUAUGCAUAUUGUUACCAAUAAACCGACUACGUGAUAAACAUGUCUACUGCUACUGUUGAUCUAAAUACAUGUUAAACUUGUCUCUUGUUUCUCUAUUGUAUUGAUACUCACAUGUCAUUCUGAAUUAUAUGGGGCGGGAUGCUUUGAAAGGAGGAACUACUGGCAUCUUUAUCUGCAAACAUUGGUGGUUUACCCACAAAUUACUUGCAACUUUUAUCUGCAAACUUGUUGUGUAUUCACAACCACUGGCAGCGUAUUAACCUACAAACACUAGUGGUUUAUCCAUAAAUUUUACUGGCAACUUUUAUUUGCAAACUCGUGUAUUCAAAAUUACCGAUAGCUUAUUAACCUGCAAUACUAGUGGUUCAUCAAUGACCAUAAGGCAAAGGUUAGCUACUUUUUUAUCUUCAUCGUCGAAUGAAUCCUCAUCACUUCAACUAGUAACAUGAGUGUCGAAACCAUUUUUUUAAAGAGUCGACUUUUUAUUUAAAAACAAACAUGGGAGUCGCCACUGAUCAUUUUUAUGAGGUGUGAUCGGGUCAUCUCGUAAUGAUUUAAUUUAUUAAAAUAACAAUUUUGGUCUACGAAAUUCAGAAAAAUGGAUUCGAGAGUCAGUUACGUACGAGGAAGGAUUAGCACUCUCGUAACGCCCAAAAUUGGUACCUAAUUGAUUAAUUAAUGUCUUAAUGUCGAAAACUGAAAAUUCGAAAAGAAUUUAAAAUACGAUCCCUCUUUAUUAAUGUUAUUUUAUUUUAAAAAAUUUUGCUUGAAUAAAUCGAAACGAAUGUUAAGGAUUCUUUCAUCUUGCGGUAACAAAAUGUCGCAUCCCGUAAGUUAGGACACAGCACCUUUAACCUUUGAUAAUGAACUUGCCUUUAUUUUUUAUUUUAAAUCUUAUUAUUUUGAUUUUUAAAAGGAUAUUUGGUUAUUUGAGUUUAACGAGAGAAUCGAAACCCCGUGAAUUAGGGUACAAUUUCUCGAAGCUCUAAACACGGAAUAUUGCCUUUAUUUCCAAAAAAUUUUUUUUGAAUAAAUACACACGUAAUAUUUAAAACUAUGCAUAUUUAUUUUAUUUGGAUUAUAGUGCAAAGAAAGAAUGUUUGGACACGGCUCGUGACAUGAUUGAAAUAAUAAUAGAAUGAUUACGCGAAAAGAAGCGAAAUGACGAUAUAUCUAUAGUAAUAAAACAACAAAUAAGCAAUGGCCAUAAUCAAUUAAAUCUAAUAUUAGCUAAAUAAUAAUGUGAAGCAAAAAAAAGGUAGAAUAGGCAUGAUAAAAGACAAACAUGAAAAUAUCAAAAAAAGAAGAAGAAAUAAAUGAGUAACAGGAAAAAUAAAAUAAAAUAAUGAUGAUAAUAAUAACAUUUUACGUAAAUAAAAGAUUAUAAACAAUUGUAUUUUUUUUAAAGAAAAAAUAUAAACAAUAUUAAACCCAGGUAUUUAAAAGAAUAAUAAAUAAUAAACAAAUAUGCAAAAUGAACAUAAGUAAUAAAAUUAAUUAAAGGACUGAAUUAAAAUUUAAAUAGAAUUAAAGGCAUAAAUUAUAAUAAAUUAAAAUAAUUAAAAAAAAGGAUUCCAAGAUUAAAAAAUAAUAAUGUGCUAAAAAAAUGGGACUAAAAGGGAAAAUGUCUCUGGUCCUUAUGCACAACAUUUCAUCAGAUGACUAAAAUGAAACAAAAAUAAAAUUACGGGGUAAAAUAAAAAAUGAAAAAUAGUAGAUCGCAAACUAAUUAAAAAGCGGAAUGGCUAAAAGGGAAAUUAGACCCUUCCACAAAAACACGCGGAUCCUGAGGUUGGAGCCGGUCAGGUUUCGAGUCGGAGGCCAAAACGGCACCAUUUUGGAGUUAUUGAAAUUAGCCCUAAACGAUGUCGCUUACAUUGCCUAUAAAUACUAAGUUUUUUUUUGUAUUUCAUUCUAUUCUCUCUUUUAAAAAAAACCUAAAAAAACUUUCUCAACUCUCUCUCGGUCGGUCGUCAGUUUGGCUAGUCGCCGCCGCGCCGGCUAUCGACGACGGCGCCACCGUGCACGGUGGUUGAAAAGUUCAAAAGACGCCACUCUGGACGCCUCGACUUCUGGAGUCCGAAUCUAGGGGAAUAUUUCUCGAAAGUCUUUCAGAAAAAUGUAAAAAAGGCCCAAAAACUUUCAGUUUUUGGGUUUCGAAAACCCUAAAAAUCACCAAAUCCUCCACUUACGGUGGCGGAGUACAAGUACUCAGUAAGUUUUUUUUUGAACCCUUUUCCUUUUUCUUUGUAUUAAAAUAUUAAAAAAAAAAGAGUAAUCACCUUUCUUGAAAUUUUUGUUAUCUAUUUCUCUAUUCCUUUGUGUCCUUUGAAUAUUACAAGAAAUUGGCCUUUAUAGCCGUUUAAAAUAACAUCUUUCUUUUUUAUUUUGUUUUUUGCGUCACUACUAUUUUUCUAUCAUUUUCUUUGCCUUGUUUGCAGGUCUUGGCGAAGUCAAUGGAGGUGAAGAUUCUGGCUUUUUGCCAUUUUGGUGCAAGGCUGAGAAAAGGGGGUCAAAUAGGCCUCGAGACGAGGCACGGGUGGUGCGCCCGAGGAGAAGCAGCGCGGAGGGGCUUAGGGUUUCUGAUAAUGUUUAAGUGUUGUGGGCUUGUACUUUUUGGGCUAGGUUUUUUGCAUUUUGGGCUAUUUGGGCCUCUUUUCCUUGAGUUUUUGUUUGCUUAAUCCAUUUUUCUUCCAUUGGGGACAAUUGAACUUGAUGUGUCCCGUCUUCAUGCAUUCAUAACAUAUGAUGGGAUCAUUUUCCUUGGUAGAUUCAAGCUUGAGUCCUUCCUUCUUUUGGAAUUUUCUCCCUCUAUUGGACCUCAUAAACUUCUUGAAUCUCCUAGCAAACAUAAUCAUCUCUUUGUCUUCAUCCACCUCUUUACUUGAUUCAUUUGUGGUGGAUUUAAGUGCAACACUAGCAUUUUUCUUCUUAAUUUGGCUCUUUCAACCCCUUCAUUGAGCCUUAUCUCAUGUGUAAGCAAAGAACUGAUGAGCUCAUCCAAAGUCAACAUUUCUAAAUUCUUUGCUUCUUCAAUUACAGUCACCUUGGCUUCCCACGAUUUAGGCAAGCUUCGAAGCAUCUUCCUUACCACCUCUUCAUUUGGAUAUGUAUUCCCAUAAGACUUCAACCCAUUGAUGAUGAUAGUAAACCGAUCGAACAUCGCCUUGAUAUAUUCCUCAUGCUUUAUUUUGAAGGUUUCAUAAUUUAAAGGAAGAAUGUCAACCUUAGACUUCUUCACUUGGUUGGUACCUUCAUGUUUGACUUCGAGCUUAUCCCAUAUCUCCUUGGCAUUGAAACAAGAUGAAACUCUAUUAUAUUAUUUCAGACCAAUUGCACAAAAUAAAGUGUGCAAAGCUUUGACAUUCAACUGAAUACUUCUUCUAUCUUUCACAUUCCACUCUUUCUUGCUCUUUAGAAUAAAGAGCUCUCAUUCUUUCUUGAGAGGUAUAGAGGGACUGUCCAUGAUGAUGUCCCAUACGGCAAGAUCAUUUGCUUGUAUGAACAACAUCAUUCUUGUCUUCCAAUAGGAGUAGUUGGCACCAUUGAAAUAAGAGGCUUGGAGAUGGAUUGUGAUUUUGCAAGAAAAAUUGAAUUGGAUGUAGAUGUCAUUUCUUAUGAAUUGAUUGGCUAAAUGUUGAGCUACCUCAAGGAUCUCCUCUUUGGUUGUUAAACCGUCUAAAAGAGACUAACUCUGAUACCAAUUGUUAGCUCAAAUAAUCAAACCAAAAUAGUCAAGAGGGGGUGAAUUGGCUUUUAAAAUUUUUGCAAAAGCUAUAGAGAAAAGAUAGAGAAUAAAUACAAGAAUUUAGAGUUGUUCGGCCCCAACUGCCUACUCUACUACCUUAACUUUUCACAACUAAGGAUUUUCCCAAAUUCACUAAUUUGAUAACCUUUGAAGACAAGGCUUAACCUUACAAACUCCCUUAAGAUUUCUACCCAAACCUUAAGAUACAAACCUUCUCAAAGAGAUAAAAAAAAGCAAACAAGGAAAUAAUCCUUACAAGAUUAAGGUGUUUGCAAAUUAAGCUCAAUUAUAAAGAAAAACACUUGAGCUAAUAGAAUAGCAAUGAAGCUCACAAGUGUAUAAAGAAAAGUAUGGGAAUAUUUGGCACAAAGGUUGUUUGAUUGAUCUUUUUGCUUGAAUAUUCUUUCUUGUUAUUUUAGGACCUUUGGAAGAUAGUAUUUAUACUGGAAGAUAGUAUUUAUACCCUUUAAUUCAUUUUCAACCGUUGGGACUGUUGUGGAAGUUAAUAGAGCCUUUGGGAUAGUGCAUUUAAUUCACCUGCAACAAAAAUGUAUCGAUACUACUUGGAAAAGUAUCAAUAAUUUUAGCAUUUAAUGCCUUGAUUCAGUGACCGUUAAAACCGAUAAAAUCAACACCAAGAUAAAAUUAUCAAUACCAAAUAAAAGGUAACAAUAUUGGAUCGAUACUUAAUGAAUGUCUCAAAAUGGCAAAAAGUUAAUUUCAUAUUGAUAAUAAAAAAUAUAACUAUAAAAUUUGUCCAAAUUGAUACCAUUUAAAAUUUUAUCGAUACCUAACAAAAAGUUAUCGAUAUCGUAUCGAUACUUGGUAACUCAUUUACAAGUUAGUAGCCUAUUUUGGUAUUGAUUUCCAUAAAUUUAUCGAUACCUAACAAAAAGUAUCAAUAGUGGAUCGAUACUUUUUGAGCUAGAGCAAUUUUAACUUGUUUGAAAUUGUUUUGAAGUAUUGUUUUUAAUUUACUUGGCCUUGAAAACAUUUUCUAAAUAUAAAUUUGACAUUUUUGUAUUUUAGAAAUAAUUUGAAGUACAAAUUUGCCACAUGUUGUUUAAAAUGAUUUUUAUUCAAAACAUAGUGUUUGUUAUAUCAAAAUGGUUUUGUCAAAUAAAGCUUGGGUCAACAGUCUCACAAUUAAAUAUUAGAGUUUAUAAAAUUUCAUAAUUUAAAAAAUAGAAUAUGACAAUGUUUAAAAAUUUUAUUAAAUUUUUUUUAAAUUUUAUACAAAAUUUUGAAAACAAACAAAUACUACUUAAAAAACCUUUUAAAAUAGAAUUAAAUAUUUUUUAAAAUAUUUAUAUGUAUUUUAUUUUUUAUAAAUACUAUUAAAAAUUUAAAAACAAAAUUGAAUACUAUUUAAAAAUAUUAUUAAAAAUAAAAAAUUAUAUGAAAUUUAAAAUUGUCUAAAAAUAUUUUUAAAAAUUAAAUACUUUAUAAAAUAUUUAAAACUGUUUAAAAAUCCUAAACCCUAAAAAAAUCAGUAAAAAUAUAUUUUUUUUUAAAAAUUAAUAAAAAUAUAUUUUAAAAUUUAUAAUAUAUUUAUAAUUUACUUGUCUAAAGGAAUUUUACAUCAAUUUGUUUUUAUUGCAACUAAAAAGCCUUCGAAUAUUUAAAUUAAUAAUAUUCAAAUAUUUAAAACACAUUUAGAAUGUUCAAUCAAGUAUUAAAUAUAUUUAAACAUUUAUCACAAAAUAAAUAUGAAUAGAACCGCACAUAUCUUCGAUAUUGACUGCACAGAUCAACUUGAAUUUAAAAUAUAUUCUUCUAUUUAUUAAUGGAUACUGAUCCAUUGUACCAAUAUAAUUCAGUGACUUACUUAAAAACUUCAAAAUAAUUCAAUAAUCAUUUCGUAAUUUUCUUUAUAAAUUAAAAUACUUUUUCACCAUUUUUUUUCUUUUUCAAUAAAUUCUAAAGAUUUUAAACUUGUUUACUUUGUUUGCCAAUGUUAGUAACACAUGGCAUCUCAUUGUUUCUUUUAAAGAAAAAAUCAAGACAGAUUUUACUUGCAAGUCAUUUAAGCUGCUUAAAGUAACAGUUAGAAGAGGAAAAGAAGCCUGAAGCAGCAGUGAAAACAACAGCAACCAAACAUUUUAAAAGAUACCGUCAAAAUCCUACGCCUGAUAGUUAGUAAAGAGAUUACCUUUCUUUUUGCCUAUUUAUAGGGUAAAAAAAGGAGUAGGGAGGUAGUACUGGGAAAGACAAUGAGGAACUAUUUGUUAGUGAUAUUUGUAGGUGUAAAUUUGCUUUUAGGUGGAGUUAAUGGUAGAUUUUAUAAGGAUGCAGAGAGGGAAAUAGAUACAAAUGGAAUGUCGGCAGUGGGUGAUCCAGGAAUGAGAAGAAAUGGUUUGAGGGUAGCUUUUGAAGCUUGGAACUUCUGCAAUGAAGUUGCCCAUGAAGCUCCUGGCAUGGGGAGUCCGAGAGCUGCUGAUUGUUUUGACGUUUCAAGUAAGUGUAGAAAAAAGUUAUUUUGUCCAUGAAUUUUGUUUUAAUGUUUAUUUGGUGUUCUAAUUUUUCUGAGUUAUGAAUGGGUCAGAUUCAACCCUGUUACACAAGGUAUCUGAGGCAGAUAACAAGCUUGGAAUAGGCAGAACAUUUAAAGGAUUAUCUACAGAAGCAAUGCAUCGGCCAGAUCUUUAUGCAGUUGAGAAGGAGUUGUAUUUGGGUUCUUUAUGCGAAGUUUCAGACAGUUCAAAGCCAUGGCAAUUUUGGAUGGUUAUGUUGAAAAAUGGAAACUUUGAUACAAAGGCCGGUUUGUGUCCUGAAAAUGGGAAACCCAAACCUCCUUUUACUACUACAAAGAACUUCCCUUGCUUUGGAGAAGGGUGCAUGAAUCAACCCACUUUGAACCAUCGGCCUACACAACUGUUAGGUGAUGGUACAAUGAGGGGAUGGUUCAAUGGAACUUAUGAUUUGGAUGCUGAUAUUGGGAAAGGUCUUACAAAUUUAUCCUUUUAUGAAGUGAUUUGGGAGAAAAAGCUUGGUUCUGGAAGUUGGGUAUUUAAGCAUAGGCUCAAGACUUCAAUGAAAUAUCCAUGGUUGAUGCUUUACCUUAGAGCUGAUGCAACCAAAGGAUUCUCUGGUGGAUACCAUUAUGAAACAAGAGGAAUGCUCCACACU
rnacentral:lncRNA from 1 species